UAGUAAUAAAUCUUGAUUAAACUUUAACUUUAAUUAAUCUUUA
rnacentral:tRNA from 1 species